GUAGCUGCUGUAGAUUUACUGGUACCGGAAGUUGGUGAGUGUUUGGAGGGAGUCUUAGAGAAGAAAGAUAUGACAUACUCAAUUCAAGAUUAGAUGAUCUUCAGUUAACAGAAUCUUACCAAUGGUAUCUUGAUUUAAGAAGAUACGGCAGUGUAACACAUGGUGGAUUUGGAAUUAAUUUAAGUUACAUUAUCAUAUUAACUUACUAUGGACAUGGUAAACUGCCUGCAAUUAAUAUUUACAUGUGUCAGUACUGAAACAUGUUAUUAAUUAUUUAAUGUAUAAUACGCUAGAUCUGUAAAAUAUAAGUAUGUUCAAAUCGUUUGCCUUGGCUCCUGUCAGGUGUCAUAAGCUGAAACUGGAAUAGAUUCCUCUGAAGUUAUUGAAUGAUCUUCAAUAAAUUAAGUGUGUAACAAUCAUUGAUUAUUUUUUGUAUCAAUCUUUGUUGUUAACGCAUUAUUAUAACAAUCGUGUUACAAAAAAUCUAGUAAAUAUAUGUAUUGUUUUUAACUUUAUUUCAAAAUAUUGAAAGAUGUUAAUUCAUAGAUGUAGUGUGUCAAAUGAUUUUCCAAGUUAAUUUUCAAAUUGAAAUCUUAAUUGUUGAUUAUUGCAAUUAAAUUUGUAUAUGUUUACGAAAGUUAUAUAUGCAGAGACUA